rnacentral:rRNA from 1 species
UACGUAGGGGGCAAGCGUCGUCCGGAUUUAUUGGGCGUAAAGAGCGUGUAGGCGGCCAGGUAGGUCUGCUGUGAAAACUCGAGGCUUAACCUCGAGCUGUCGGUGGAAACCAUCUGGCUAGAGUCCGGAAGAGGAGAGUGGAAUUCCCGGUGUAGCGGUGAAAUGCGCAGAUAUCGGGAAGAACACCCGUGGCUAAGGCGGCUCUCUAGUACGGUACUGACGCUGAGACGCGAAAGCGUGGGGAGCGAACAGG